rnacentral:misc_RNA from 1 species
UUCACCGAACGGUCGGCGGGCGAUCCGCGUCGGUCUCGCUGGGUGGUAUGGUUCCCCAGAGGCCGGUUCUUGUGCUGCCUACCCCUCAAGGGGAAGCGGGCCGCUCGAUGCAAGCCUCCAUCCCGCGCCCUCCAACGGGCGCAGGAGGACAACGGAGCACCCCCCGCGUUCCACCGAGCCUCCUCGGUCGCGUGGCGCGCGGGGACGUGCGAUGCUCUCGGACCCAGCGAACGCCGUGGGCGAGGACUCACGUCCCAGUCCCGAUAGAAGCUCCCACAUAAUGCAUGACGGCCGGUCCCGUCCCCCGACCGCCCCGGCGGCGCGGUGGGCGAGGCGCGGCGUCGCGGAGGAAUG